rnacentral:rRNA from 1 species
GAUGAACGCUAGCGGCAGGCCUAAUACAUGCAAGUCGAGGGGUAACAUGGUAGCAAUACUGAUGACGACCGGCAAACGGGUGCGGAACACGUACAGAACCUUCCUUUAAGCGGGGGAUAGCCCGGAGAAUCCGGAUUAAUACCCAUAAGAUUAUAUAGUGGCAUCACUUAGUAUAAUUAAAGAUUUAUCACUUAAAGAUGGCUGUGCGCCUGAUUAGGUAGUUGGUGCGGGAAUGGCCCACCAAGCCAACGAUCAGUAACUGGUGUGAGAGCACGACCAGUCACACGGGCACUGAGACACGGGCCCGACUCCUACGGGAGGCAGCAGUAAGGAAUAUUGGUCAAUGGACGCAAGUCUGAACCAGCCAUGCCGCGUGAAGGAUGAAGGUCCUCUGGAUUGUAAACUUCUUUUGAAUGGGACGAAACCCUUUUAUUCGUAAGAGAUUGACGGUACCAUUAGAAUAAGCACCGGCUAACUCCGUGCCAGCCGCCG